rnacentral:snRNA from 1 species
UCAGCAUAUACUAAAUAUACUAAAAUUGGAGCGAUACAGAGAAGAUUAGCAUGGCCCCUGUGCAAGGAUGACAUGCAAAUUCAUGAAGCGCUCCAUAUUUUU